CAGCUGUGCCUUUCCCCUUUGGUUUGUGUGAAAUGGAUUUCUUGCACUAACUGCUGAGGCCAAUUGGCUCUGAUCAGAAUUGACAUCCUGCCAGGCUGCCUGCGAUGAUGUGCCUUCUCUUACUUUGGCUGUAUCUGGACCAGGGAAUCAUGGCACAGAAUGGACGCUUCGACAAGCCUUUGAUCUUGGCCAAACCGAGCUCUAUGGUUGCACCAGGCACCAAUGUGACCCUCCAUUGCUGGAUGAUGGAAUCAACUCUCCAGGAGGUGACAUUCACCCUGUGGAUGGUAGGGAGGCUUGCAAAUGCUCAGAAGCAGGCAGAAAGAGAGGCUAAGUUUUCCCUGCCAUCUGUGAGUCUCGAUAAUGCUGGGAGCUACAUCUGUGCUUACUCUGAGAAGGGAGAGCCAAAGAGGAUGUCAGAGGCCAGUGACAUCCUGGAUUUGGUGGUGACAGGUUCUUUCCCCAAGCCCUCCUUCCUGGCCCACCCUAGCCCUAACGUGGUCCUUGGGGAACAUGUGGUCCUGAGGUGCACCCUGCCACUGCCAAGGUCAUCCCCCAAAAGUAUAAUGUUUAUUUUGCUGAAGGCAGGGAAUCCAGAGCCUGUCCAGCCCUGCAAACAAGCAAAGAGAGUGGCUGAAUUUCCCCUCCAGCCUUUGAGAGCCCAGGAUCAGGGGAAUAUAGAUGCAUUUACUAUGAGAGGCAGGCCCUGCUGAGGGGCUCAGAGCCCAGUGAGCCCCUGACUGUCUGUCUGACAGGGGAGAGAGGGCACCAGGCUCCAGGACCCUGAGCAGAGAUUACCCGACCAGACCCUCCCUGACGGUCCAGCCCGGCUCCAGCGUUUCUCUGGGACAGAAUGUGACGUUACAUUGUCAGGGG